rnacentral:lncRNA from 1 species
AGACCUGUUUCUGCAGUGCCCGCCCGGGUUGUCCCUGCUGGCACGUGAGGGUCAAGGUGGAGACGCUUCCUGGGCCUCUGCUGCUGGGAGGCAAGGUGAGAGAUGAUUUGCUCCGUUUCUGUCGGUGUGGUCUUGCCUGGGCAGCCUGRCGAUGCUCGUGGUGUUUGCUGCCGGCGGGUUGCGUUUUCCCACCGCCGUUGUGGUUGCACGAAGAAUGUAAUAGCGCUUCAGAAGGACAUGGCAAAAGAUGUAGCUCAUCUCCAGGAAAAGCCACAAUUUCUCCCAGGCUCAUACUGCCUAAGUAGCUCCGAGUAGAUGACCGCUUCAGAUGAUUACAGAGUUUCCCUGACCUGAGCCACUGACAGUUUUUUCUGCUGCUUCAUAUAGCGUAAGUUUUCUUAAAAAGUCUAUGGCUGGAAAUUUAUAUGUAUUUUGUAUUUAUACGUAUUCGUAUUUAGAUGUAUUUUGUAUAUACACAUACAAUUYCUGAUAACUCAUAAUGUUUCUAUUAAGUUCAAAGAAUUUGGCAUAUUAUGGGUAAAAUAGGAAACCAACUCAGAUUGUGAUUUUGUCUGUGUGYAGAAAAUUAAAUGCAAGAAUUUGAGAGAAUUUUAAGGUGUGCUCUCUAAAGCAUAAAGAAGUCACU